rnacentral:lncRNA from 1 species
GGGCAUAGGGUCAGUCUCUUCUGGGCCUGCACUGUCAGUGGUGGUGAUGCACUGUUGCUUUUGCUGUUCUCUUGGUCAGCCUGGGAGGUAUGUUUGCCAUGAUCAUUUUUGUAUUUGUUAUAAUGCUUACAAAGGUUUUGACAGAAUUUUUCAAAAGAUGAUUGUCUCUCUAAGUCAAAAGUAUUUAAGAUUCUUCCAAGUUCCAUCCCAAAAAAGUGGAGAUUUAUGAAACAUGGUGAUUUGGAUCAAACCACUUGUCAUUGUUUGUCAAAAUUUCCUGAUAUGACAUAUAUGGGGCAGAUCUCAUUGUUAUCCUAGACCUUACAUCAUUAUCAUUGAGAUUUUUGAACUUUUGCCUUGUUAUAUGUUUGUAAUGAGUUUGUAUUUUCAUUACACCUGUUCAUGCAGGAGGGGAUACUCUGUCAUUUCUGAAGAAAUUGUCUGGAUCAAUUUUGCUUUUUUACUUGGACCAACCUCUUGAAAUUGUCUUUAAAGUACUUCACACCCCAAACACUUGCCUCUAAGUAAGCUUGUUUUAACAUCUUUGUUUCUCCCCAAGUCGAGGUCUCUAUAGUUAAAAUAGGCUGAUCUUUGAGACUUGGAAGCAAAUGGCGUCAUGUACCUGUAAAACAUCCUGAUCCAGUGCAUAUGCUUGUUUGAUUCUCGGGCUUUUUGUCAAUUCAGGGGUAGGAAUAUUUUUAUUUACGGAUUUGGGGUUAGAAUAAAAAUAUUUGAGGAUUUAGAAUUGGGGUGACAGGUGGCGACCGAAAAACUUGCUUGGAAAGAUUAAAUAAUAUUAAUAAUAUUAAAUAAUAUUAAUUAUAAAUUUAUUUAACUAUUAUUAAAUAUAUAUACAAAAAAGAUUGAAUUAAAUAAUUAAUAAAAAAUAGAUUAAUUAAUUAAUUAAUUAAUAUAAAUAUUUAAAAUUAUAAAAAUUAAAUUUAUUUUUAUUGAACUGUCACUCAUAUAUAAUCACACAAUAAAUUAAUACAAUAAUACUGUAAUUAAAUAGUAUCAAUAAUUUUUUAAUUACAUAAUAAUGUUGUUUUAUAACUCUACAAAUUACUAUAAUCAGUUAUAAAUAAUUAUCAUAUUUUAUAAAAAUAUUUUUAAUAUAUAAGAAUACUAUAAAAGUUAAUAACAAAUGAACUAUAUAUAAAAAUAUUUAAACGCAUAAAAUAUUUAAAAUUAUUAUAUUAUUUUGCUAUUAGAUAUUAUAUAAAAAUAUUAAAUUAUUUAUAAUUUAUUAAAAAGAAAUAAAUAAAUAAAUUAAUUUAAUUAUAUGAUAAAUUAAUUAUCAGUAUAAUUUUAUUUUAUUUAAAUAUUAAUAUAUAUUUUAUAUAUUAAUAUUUAAUAUAUUUUAUUAUUAAUAUUUAAAUUAAAAAUAUUACUGACUCUAUAUAAUUUAUAAUUUCAGUAUUAUAAAAUUAAUAUUAUUAUGUAAUUAUAUACAUUAUCAUAAAAUUAAUAUUAUUCUGUAAUUAUGUAUAGCUGGACAAUAGAAAUCUAAUAAAAAUAAAUUUAAUUUUUAUAAUUUUAAAUAUUUAUAUUAAUUUAUUUUUUUAUUCAAUCCAAGUCAUUUGUGUGCAAUCUGCAGCUUUCAAUCCCAAUUCAGGGAAAUUCUGGUUUAUCAAUGGCAUUAGCCUGUCGAUUCCUCCAAGAAACAGUGAAUGAAAGGAAACUUGGACCGUCUUUGGAUUUGUACUUGUGCCCCCACCAACAUUUUGAAUGAUGAUUCUGAGAAAGAGAUCUUCAUGGAGCUUGUCUGCAAUGUAUUGCCACUUAUGGACAAGUUCGAUAGCACCUUGUUCUAAUGUUCUUGAAACAGUGAAAAUUGUCACAACUGGGGGAACUUUAACAAGCUUGAUCUUCCAGGAAAGAAUGACUCCAAACCUGCUCCGCCACCUCCUCUAAUAGCCCAAAACAAGUCUUCUCCUAUAGCUUUUCUAUCAAGAAUUGUUCCAUUAACAUCUACCAAGAAAGCAUCAAUGACGUUAUCGGCUGCAAGCCCAUAUUUCCUCAGCAAGGUACCAACACCCCCUCCACUGAAAUGCCCACCAACUCCAACAGUAGGGCAUAUUCCUGAUAGGAACCCAUGAACUCUACUUUCCUUGCCAAUAGCACAGUAAAGCUCACCAAGUGUCGCACCAGACUGAACCCAUGCUGAUUCAUCUGCAAUAUCAACCUCUACAGCUCGGAAAUUCCUGAGAUUAAUGAUAAUGAAUGGGGGAAGUCUGACAUAGAUAAGCUAAGCCUUCAUAGUUAUGGCCACCGCUUCUGACUCGAACUUGUAAACCCUUCUUUUUGCUGCAAAGAACAGCUGCUUGGAUUUCUGACUCAUGGAAUGGUGUGAGAACGAGAUCUGCUUAUUUGAAAUUGUGGAGUUUACCCAUCUCAUAUUUUGUUGAGAUGAUUGCAAAGUAUGUGAAUAUAAAGAGGAUUGAGGAGUGAAGAUGAUUUCAAAAGAUUUGGUAUAGGGGUUGAAUUGGGUUGACAUGCAAUUGACAAAGUUUCAUGGAUUGGACUUGAAUUUGCACAUGAAACAAUUAAAAGCCAAGAUAGAAAUCCUUCAACAAUGAACCUCAUUUCGAUCUUAUGUUUGAUUAGUUUUGGUCGCCAAAGAGAGAAUUUUUCAUUAGAGAGAUCUUGUGAAGACGACUUCAGCAGGAGUGCAUAUGGGACAAGAAGGCGAAGAUUUCAAUAAGGAAAGAGGAAAAAUCAUACACGUUAUCAGUUAUCAGAGCGCGCUGUAGUUAUGUCGUUUUACUUGGGUUUGACAAUCAAGUUUGAAAGUUGUCAACUUAGUUGUCAACUUCUCCUUUACAUGCAUUAAAAUCUAAAAUGAGUAACCAGACUUCAUUAAUCCUGAAAUUGAAUUGUCAGCUAAUUCAUUAUUCUGAAAUUGAUUUCAUUUUUAGCUAACUCAUUACUCCCAUUUUUUAGGAUAAUUUUGGAGUGCUGAUCCUUUUCUUUACUGUCUCGACAGCCUGUUGGUGGUGAUUCGCGGGACCUAUGCUAGUCCCGGAAGGCAUGAGUGACGGAGUGAGUUCGCCGAACAGUCUACUGCCUCCAGCCUCUGCCGCCAUUAAAGGAUUUUGCUGCUCCUUUUCAUGGAUUUUGUUGCUCAUCGACGGUAGGAUCCUGUUGCAGCUUGGCGUCCCUUUCGAGCUUCUAGAACAGUGUCCUUUGUCCCUGGUUGUUCGCGUUGUUGAUCAGCUUCUCUCUUCUUCCCAGCGUUACUUGGCCGGUGGAGCGGCGGGGGACGACUCCGUUUGAUGUUCUAAGGUUUUACUUCAGCAAGGUUCUCUGCUUUGGGCCUUAUCUUAGUCUGGGCCUUGUUGUUAGUUUGGACCCUUUCUUUUUAUCCAUGGCCUGUCUUCUAUAUAAAAUCUGUUGAAGUUUUUGGGCUGGGCCUUAGGCCUUUUGUUGAAUCAAUGAAUUUGAUUUUUGACGAAAAGAAAAACUAUUUUUUUAGAUAGAAAAUGGGAGAAGCUUAAAUAAAGUUAAUUAAUUUAUGAAAUGAACGUGUUCUGUGCAAGCCCAAAAAUUAUAUUGCAUAGAUUUAGGAAAAAAAAUGAAACCUGGGAAAUUGCAAAUUCCAAUGCUUUUUUAAUUUACCUCGUUCACUUUUCUGUAGCUUUAUUUGAUUUGCAUGGGAAUGGGAGAAUGAGCAUGCAUUUUAGCUUUCAUACUGAGAGACUAAAAGCUGAGUUGUUCUGUAGCUUUAUUUGUUUUGAUUCUUACCAUGGUUUUGACAGAAUUUCGAAACAUUGAUAGUCUCUGCUUGAUCAAAAUCUCUCAGAAGUAUUUAAGGUUCUCCCCUCCCAGAUCUCAGUGGAAUCUUCAUCUAUCUUAGAUUUUGCAUUAUUACAAUUGAAAUUUAUGAACUUUUUGCCUGUUGUGUUUUUGAGUUUGACUUCAUUCUUUUAUCAACUAUCUUUUCCAGUUCCACUUGCUGCCAUUACUUCUUUACUAGGACUUGUGUCUCUCAACAGUGAAGAUGUUAUCCAGAGUGAUUUGAGCUUCCAGAAGUUGUAAGUCGAUCUGUUUUUCUGAUCUUAUAAAAAUUUGGGUUUUCUUCAUUAAGCUAGGAGCAACAGGCCUUGUCGUUCAGCUUGUUACAGUCUGCUGCUGUAGUUACGUGGUGAAUGUGAAGUUACUCUGACUGGGGUGGGGUGUUCACAAAAGCAAGUAGUUAUUUUACAUUUUGAGUUACACAUCCAGCACAAUAUGUUGGGUCUACUAUUUGGUGUGCCUGAUAAUUAUACAGGGACCUUACAGGAGAAAAGUUUCACUCCAACGUACGAGUUUUGUAUUUCCAUUGCACCUAUUCAUGGAUGGAGGGAAUACUCUGUUCAUUUCUGAAGAAAUUGCCAGGAUCAAUUUUGCUUUUCACUUGGACCAACCUCUUG